rnacentral:rRNA from 1 species
GAAACCGUGUACGUACAAGCAGUGGGAGCACGCUUAGGCGUGUGACUGCGUACCUUUUGUAUAAUGGGUCAGCGACUUAUAUUCUGUAGCAAGGUUAACCGAAUAGGGGAGCCGAAGGGAAACCGAGUCUUAACUGGGCGUUAAGUUGCAGGGUAUAGACCCGAAACCCGGUGAUCUAGCCAUGGGCAGGUUGAAGGUUGGGUAACACUAACUGGAGGACCGAACCGACUAAUGUUGAAAAAUUAGCGGAUGACUUGUGGCUGGGGGUGAAAGGCCAAUCAAACCGGGAGAUAGCUGGUUCUCCCCGAAAGCUAUUUAGGUAGCGCCUCGUGAAUUCAUCUCCGGGGGUAGAGCACUGUUUCGGCAAGGGGGUCAUCCCGACUUACCAACCCGAUGCAAACUGCGAAUACCGGAGAAUGUUAUCACGGGAGACACACGGCGGGUGCUAACGUCCGUCGUGAAGAGGGAAACAACCCAGACCGCCAGCUAAGGUCCCAAAGUCAUGGUUAAGUGGGAAACGAUGUGGGAAGGCCCAGACAGCCAGGAUGUUGGCUUAGAAGCAGCCAUCAUUUAAAGAAAGCGUAAUAGCUCACUGGUCGAGUCGGCCUGCGCGGAAGAUGUAACGGGGCUAAACCAUGCACCGAAGCUGCGGCAGCGACGCUUAUGCGUUGUUGGGUAGGGGAGCGUUCUGUAAGCCUGUGAAGGUGUGCUGUGAGGUAUGCUGGAGGUAUCAGAAGUGCGAAUGCUGACAUAAGUAACGAUAAAGCGGGUGAAAAGCCCGCUCGCCGGAAGACCAAGGGUUCCUGUCCAACGUUAAUCGGGGCAGGGUGAGUCGACCCCUAAGGCGAGGCCGAAAGGCGUAGUCGAUGGGAAACAGGUUAAUAUUCCUGUACUUGGUGUUACUGCGAAGGGGGGACGGAGAAGGCUAUGUUGGCCGGGCGACGGUUGUCCCGGUUUAAGCGUGUAGGCUGGUUUUCCAGGCAAAUCCGGAAAAUCAAGGCCGAGGCGUGAUGACGAGGCACUACGGUGCUGAAGCAACAAAUGCCCUGCUUCCAGGAAAAGCCUCUAAGCAUCAGGUAACAUCAAAUCGUACCCCAAACCGACACAGGUGGUCAGGUAGAGAAUACCAAGGCGCUUGAGAGAACUCGGGUGAAGGAACUAGGCAAAAUGGUGCCGUAACUUCGGGAGAAGGCACGCUGAUACGUAGGUGAAGCGACUUGCUCGUGGAGCUGAAAUCAGUCGAAGAUACCAGCUGGCUGCAACUGUUUAUUAAAAACACAGCACUGUGCAAACACGAAAGUGGACGUAUACGGUGUGACGCCUGCCCGGUGCCGGAAGGUUAAUUGAUGGGGUUAGCGCAAGCGAAGCUCUUGAUCGAAGCCCCGGUAAACGGCGGCCGUAACUAUAACGGUCCUAAGGUAGCGAAAUUCCUUGUCGGGUAAGUUCCGACCUGCACGAAUGGCGUAAUGAUGGCCAGGCUGUCUCCACCCGAGACUCAGUGAAAUUGAACUCGCUGUGAAGAUGCAGUGUACCCGCGGCAAGACGGAAAGACCCCGUGAACCUUUACUAUAGCUUGACACUGAACAUUGAGCCUUGAUGUGUAGGAUAGGUGGGAGGCUUUGAAGUGUGGACGCCAGUCUGCAUGGAGCCGACCUUGAAAUACCACCCUUUAAUGUUUGAUGUUCUAACGUGGACCCGUGAUCCGGGUUGCGGACAGUGUCUGGUGGGUAGUUUGACUGGGGCGGUCUCCUCCUAAAGAGUAACGGAGGAGCACGAAGGUUGGCUAAUCCUGGUCGGACAUCAGGAGGUUAGUGCAAUGGCAUAAGCCAGCUUGACUGCGAGCGUGACGGCGCGAGCAGGUGCGAAAGCAGGUCAUAGUGAUCCGGUGGUUCUGAAUGGAAGGGCCAUCGCUCAACGGAUAAAAGGUACUCCGGGGAUAACAGGCUGAUACCGCCCAAGAGUUCAUAUCGACGGCGGUGUUUGGCACCUCGAUGUCGGCUCAUCACAUCCUGGGGCUGAAGUAGGUCCCAAGGGUAUGGCUGUUCGCCAUUUAAAGUGGUACGCGAGCUGGGUUUAGAACGUCGUGAGACAGUUCGGUCCCUAUCUGCCGUGGGCGCUGGAGAACUGAGGGGGGCUGCUCCUAGUACGAGAGGACCGGAGUGGACGCAUCACUGGUGUUCGGGUUGUCAUGCCAAUGGCACUGCCCGGUAGCUAAAUGCGGAAGAGAUAAGUGCUGAAAGCAUCUAAGCACGAAACUUGCCCCGAGAUGAGUUCUCCCUGACCCUUUAAGGGUCCUGAAGGAACGUUGAAGACGACGACGUUGAUAGGCCGGGUGUGUAAGCGCAGCGAUGCGUUGAGCUAACCGGUACUAAUGAACCGUGAGGCUUAACCUUACAACGCCGAAG